CCUACGGGUGGCAGCAGUAGGGAAUCUUCCACAAUGGGCGAAAGCCUGAUGGAGCGACGCCGCGUGGGUGAAGAAGGUCUUCGGAUCGUAACACCCUGUUGUUAGAGAAGAACGUUCGUGGUAGUAACUGUUCACGUUUCGACGGUAUCUACCCAGAAAGCACCGGCUAACUACGUGCCAGCAGCCGCGGUAAUACGGAGGUGGCCAGCGUUAUCCGGAUUUAUUGGGCGUAAAGGGAACGCAGGCGGUCUUUUAAGUCUGAUGUGAAAGCCUUGGGCUUAACGUGCGUAGUGCAUUGGAAACUGGGAGACUUGAGUGUAGAAGAGGAGAGUGGAACUCCAUGUGUAGCGGUGAAAUGCGUAGAUAUAUGGAAGAACACCAGUGGCGAAGGCGGCUAUCUGGUCUGUAACUGACGCUGAGGUGCGAAAGCGUGGGUAGCAAACAGGAUUAGAUACCCUUGUAGUC
rnacentral:rRNA from 1 species